rnacentral:rRNA from 1 species
UACGAAGGGGGCUAGCGUUGCUCGGAAUCACUGGGCGUAAAGCGCACGUAGGCGGAUUGCUAAGUCAGGGGUGAAAUCCUGGAGCUCAACUCCAGAACUGCCUUUGAUACUGGCGAUCUCGAGUUCGGGAGAGGUGAGUGGAACUGCGAGUGUAGAGGUGAAAUUCGUAGAUAUUCGCAAGAACACCAGUGGCGAAGGCGGCUCACUGGCCCGAUACUGACGCUGAGGUGCGAAAGCGUGGGGAGCAAACAGG